rnacentral:rRNA from 1 species
GAGUUUGAUCCUGGCUCAGAAUCAACGCUGGCGGCGUGCCUCAGACAUGCAAGUCGAACGAUUAAACUCGCCUUCGGGUGAGAUAUAAAGUGGCGCACGGGUGAGUAACACGUAGGUAAUGUACCUUUGGGUGGGGAAUAACUUAGGGAAACUUAAGCUAAUACCGCAUAAUGCAGCGGCUCCUUCGGGAGACAGUUGUUAAAGAUUUAUCGCCUAAAGAGCAGCCUGCGGCAGAUUAGCUAGUUGGUAAGGUAACGGCUUACCAAGGCUACGAUCUGUAUCCGACCUGAGAGGGUGGUCGGACACACUGACACUGAAUAACGGGUCAGACUCCUACGGGAGGCAGCAGUCGGGAAUUUUGGGCAAUGGGCGAAAGCCUGACCCAGCAACGCCGCGUGAAGGAUGAAGUCUUUCGGGAUGUAAACUUCGUAAGAAUAGGAAGAAUAAAUGACGGUACUAUUUGUAAGGUCCGGCUAACUACGUGCCAGCAGCCGCGGUAAUACGUAGGGACCAAGCGUUGUUCGGAUUUACUGGGCGUAAAGGGCGCGUAGGCGGCAAUUCAAGUCAGUUGUGAAAUCUCCGAGCUUAACUCGGAACGGUCAACUGAUACUGCUUUGCUAGAGUACAGAAGGGGCAAUCGGAAUUCUUGGUGUAGCGGUGAAAUGCGUAGAUAUCAAGAGGAACACCUGAGGUGAAGACGGGUUGCUGGGCUGAUACUGACGCUGAGGCGCGAAAGCUAGGGUAGCAAACGGGAUUAGAUACCCCGGUAGUCCUAGCCCUAAACGAUGAAUACUUGGUGUCUGGAGUUUUAUUCUCCGGGUGCCGUCGCUAACGUUUUUAGUAUUCCGCCUGGGGAGUACGCACGCAAGUGUGAAACUCAAAGGAAUUGACGGGGACCCGCACAAGCGGUGGAGCAUGUGGUUUAAUUCGACGCAACGCGAAGAACCUUACCUGAACUAGAAUGCGAGGGAAGACUACCUAAUAGUAGUCGUCGGGCAACCGACCCAAAGCAAGGUGCUGCAUGGCUGUCGUCAGCUCGUGUCGUGAGAUGUUGGGUUAAGUCCCGCAACGAGCGCAACCC